UUAAUUGAAGAGUUUGAUCAUGGCUCAGAUUGAACGCUGGCGGCAGGCCUAACACAUGCAAGUCGAGCGGUAACAGGAAUUAGCUUGCUAAUUCGCUGACGAGCGGCGGACGGGUGAGUAAUGCCUGGGAAUAUGCCUUAGUGUGGGGGAUAACUAUUGGAAACGAUAGCUAAUACCGCAUAAUGUCUUCGGACCAAAGAGGGGGACCUUCGGGCCUCUCGCGCUAAGAUUAGCCCAGGUGGGAUUAGCUAGUUGGUGAGGUAAAGGCUCACCAAGGCAACGAUCCCUAGCUGGUCUGAGAGGAUGAUCAGCCACACUGGAACUGAGACACGGUCCAGACUCCUACGGGAGGCAGCAGUGGGGAAUAUUGCACAAUGGGGGAAACCCUGAUGCAGCCAUGCCGCGUGUAUGAAGAAGGCCUUCGGGUUGUAAAGUACUUUCAGUCGUGAGGAAGGGUAUGUAGUUAAUAGCUGCAUACCUUGACGUUAGCGACAGAAGAAGCACCGGCUAACUCCGUGCCAGCAGCCGCGGUAAUACGGAGGGUGCGAGCGUUAAUCGGAAUUACUGGGCGUAAAGCGCAUGCAGGCGGUCUGUUAAGCAAGAUG
rnacentral:rRNA from 1 species